rnacentral:RNase_P_RNA from 1 species
UUGUAAGCCGGGUUCUGUCGUGGACAAUCAUUCCUCUAGGCUUGCAUUUACACACAAGCUCAAGCAACCUACCCGAACUCUCGGCGGGCCACCGAUUGAGUUCCUAUUUGGUCUUGCUACGAGUGGAGUUUACCUAGCUGCCAAAUGUUACCACUGGCACGGUGCGCUCUUACCGCACCCUUUCACCCUUACCAGCCAAAGCUGGCGGUCUGCUCUCUGUUGCACUAGUCGUAGGCUCACGCCCCCCGGAUGUUAUCCGGCACUCUGCCCUAUGUAGCCCGGACUUUCCUCCCCAA